GAUCGGGUCCCGCGCAGCGGCGAAUCGCGAACCGUGUCAGGUCCGGAAGGAAGCAGCACUCAGCGAAGCUCGUCGGGUGCCGCGGAACGGCCUGGUCCGA
rnacentral:SRP_RNA from 1 species